UACAGAGGGUGCAAGCGUUAAUCGGAUUUACUGGGCGUAAAGCGCGCGUAGGCGGCUAAUUAAGUCAAAUGUGAAAUCCCCCGAGCUUAACUUGGGAAUUGCAUUCGAUACUGGUUAGCUAGAGUGUGGGAGAGGAUGGUAGAAUUCCAGGUGUAGCGGUGAAAUGCGUAGAGAUCUGGAGGAAUACCGAUGGCGAAGGCAGCCAUCUGGCCUAACACUGACGCUGAGGGGCGAAAGCUAGGGGAGCGAACGGG
rnacentral:rRNA from 1 species